UGCAUACAAGAACGACAUGAUUGGGAUUGAGUUUGAUCCUUUAGUACCAGGUAAUCCAAAACUGAAAGGCGAAUUUGUUCUUAGUACCAUGCUUGGUAUUGAUCUUCAUCAUUCAAAAUGGUGGGACCUGGUGGCUGUUGUAGUCAUUCUAAUAGCUUUCAGACUUCUCUUCUAUGCUAUUCUCAAGUUCAAGGAGAGAACUAUGCCCGUGUUUCAUAAGCUNNNNNNNGAACUAUAAAACAUCUCAAAAAGAGGCCAUCCUUCAGGAACAGUUCACCCUUCCCUUCUUUCAGGAAAAGUUCACCUUUCCCUUCUACGAGGCACCAGACUCUACAUUCUUUGUCUUCUCAAGAGGGUCUCAACUCUCCGAUCCACUAGCAGCACCACCAAAUUAAACAUAUAGCAGUUAUAGUCAAACUUCUUCUGUGAUCUUGGAAAAAUACU
rnacentral:misc_RNA from 1 species